UAGUUCUCCUGGUCAGUGCUCCUGUCACAGUCAACCCUGUUCACUGGUCAGACCUCACACGGGGGUGGUAGAGAGUCAACUUGAAACUACUAAGUUGUCAGCAGCAGCAGGAGAGGAGACACAAACAUGAGGAGCAGCAACAGCUCUCGGCUCGUCGCCCUGACCUUCCUGCUCGUCUGUUUACUCCGUGAGUACUGACAGAGUCCUGGUCCAGUUUCAGGGUCAAGGUUUUAGUCAGGCAGAUCUAGGGUUCACAGACCAGGGACCAGUAAUCAACACAUGACCAAAUCGACCAAUGACGGCUGUGAU